GAUGAACGCUGACGGCGUGCCUAAUACAUGCAAGUCGAGCGAACGGACGAGAAGCUUGCUUUUCUGAUGUUAGCGGCGGACGGGUGAGUAACACGUGGAUAACCUACCUAUAAGACUGGGAUAACUUCGGGAAACCGGAGCUAAUACCGGAUAAUAUUUUGAACCGCAUGGUUCAAAAGUGAAAGACGGUCUUGCUGUCACUUAUAGAUGGAUCCGCGCUGCAUUAGCUAGUUGGUAAGGUAACGGCUUACCAAGGCAACGAUGCAUAGCCGACCUGAGAGGGUGAUCGGCCACACUGGAACUGAGACACGGUCCAGACUCCUACGGGAGGCAGCAGUAGGGAAUCUUCCGCAAUGGGCGAAAGCCUGACGGAGCAACGCCGCGUGAGUGAUGAAGGUCUUCGGAUCGUAAAACUCUGUUAUUAGGGAAGAACAUAUGUGUAAGUAACUGUGCACAUCUUGACGGUACCUAAUCAGAAAGCCACGGCUAACUACGUG
rnacentral:rRNA from 1 species